GGGAAAGCAGCUCACCUACCUCUCUGUUGAAGCACAUCAAAGCCUGAAUCAGAGCCAGUCUUGCUGUCCUUCUGACCCUCUUGCCCUGAAGCAAGCAUAGGUUAACGCCCCUCACUGUGGGGAGACACAGAGAAGGAAGCCGGCGUGGGAAAACGACAGGUGAUCCUGGCAUGCGUAGCCUCGCCCUGGCGCCCUGAGCACCUACCGAGGGGACGGCAGGGGCAACGUGGGGAAGUCGCCAUCAAAGAGAACUGGGAUCAAAUCUGGGCUCUCCAUUGGGCCAGCUGUGUGACCUUGGACAGAGGGAUCACGGGGAUAUGCUGCCUGGGGCGGAUCACGUUUUCCAGACAAGGAUGCAAAAAUCCCUCCCAUCCCUCAUGCCCUUCUCUCCAGGUGACUUUGACGCUCCUCCCAUAGAGCAGUGGGGGUGCGUGUCCCCUUCCCUGGAAUCUGGGCGGACCUUUGUGACAGCCUUGAUGAACAGAGUACAAUGUAAGUGACGCUGAGUGAUUUCACAGUCGAUCACAGAGGUUCUAUGCACUCACCAUGCUUUCUGGGGACAUUUGCUCCUGGAUCCCAGAGAGACAGAAGCAGCCUGAGGAGAGGCUCGAACGCAAAGAAUCCAGGGCCUUCCAGCCAGAUCCUGAAAGCGGAUUCUUGGUCCCCAGCUGAGCCACCUGCUGAUGCCCUGCUGAGCACAGACGAGCCACCGCCCCCCUCCGGUCCCCUGCACAUCCUGCCUAAGGAGCAUCUUGUGAGCAAAUCAAAUGAUUAUUUUGUUUUAUGCCACUCAGCUUAUAGUGGUUUGUUAUAUACGAACAGAUAACUGAAACAUGGUCCAUAAAAAGAUUUUAAGCAG